UAAACUGUGAAUUUAGUUUCA
rnacentral:piRNA from 1 species